UACGUAGGGGGCGAGCGUUGUCCGGAUUCAUUGGGCGUAAAGCGCGCGCAGGCGGCCAGAAGAGCCCGGCGUGAAAGCCCCCGGCUCAACCGGGGGAGGUCGUCGGGGACCUUUUGGCUGGAGGCCGGCAGGGGCGAGCGGAAUUCCCGGUGUAGUGGUGGAAUGCGUAGAGAUCGGGAGGAACACCAGUGGCGAAGGCGGCUCGCUGGGCCGGUCCUGACGCUCAGGCGCGAAAGCGUGGGGAGCGAUCCGG
rnacentral:rRNA from 1 species